rnacentral:rRNA from 1 species
CAGUAGCCGCGGUAAUGCGUGGGUCCCGAGCGUUGUCCGGAUUUAUUGGGCGUAAAGCGGGCGCAGGCGGUCAAUUAAGUCUGAUGUGAAAGCCCCCGGCUCAACCGGGGAGGGUCAUUGGAAACUGGUUGACUUGAGUGCAGAAGAGGAGAGUGGAAUUCCGUGUGUAGCGGUGAAAUGCGUAGAUAUAUGGAGGAACACCAGUGGCGAAGGCGACUCUCUGGUCUGUAACUGACGCUGAGGCUCGAAAGCGUGGGUAGCAAACAGGAUUAGAUACCCCGGUAGUCCCUGUCUCUUAUAC